CUCUUUCGUAAUGCAGGCUAUGCUGUGUCUCUGAGAGUGCAGCACAGGUUACAGGUGCAGAAUGGACCUAUAGGACAUCGAGGUGAAGGGGACCCAAGUGGUAUUCCCAUAUUUAUGGUGCUGGUGCCAGUGUUUGCCCUCACCAUGGUAGCAGCCUGGGCUUUCAUGAGAUACCGGCAACAACUUUGAAAAACUUGCUCUCUUUCAAUACUCCCAAUGAAGAUACAUUUCACUCACCCUCCACCCCUGCUAUUCUGCCAUGUCUUUCCCUCUCUCUGCAUAGCCAGAUUUGAAGUGACUGAUACCCACCCCAAACCUUGCUGUUCACAGUCUCCAAUUCUUCAUAUUCUAAUGGGAAAGUAAAGGUAUUGUUUGAAGGAAAACUGAAGAAAAGACUUGGCUUAGAACAAAUGAGGAGUUAUAUAUUUUACUAGGACUUUUGAUAGAAAUUCAGCUACAACCCAAAGAGAGAAAGAUUGAGUCUUCCUGUCACCAUAGGCAAUACCUUUUUUCUUAGCUGGCAUGCCAUAAAGGCCAGCUAUGUGAUAUUAGAGGAAGAAAGGAUUUUUCUUUUUAAUGAUCUUCCUUGGGAAAUUAUUGUGGCCUUUAUUUAAUUUCUAACUACGUACCUGGGUGCCUAUAUCGACAAAGAGUGAGAAGAGCAUUUUUACUUUUUUAAAAAAGCAAAUACAUAUAUACACAUACGUAUGCAAAUAUUAUAGUAUAAUAGUGAUCCCUAUGGAGAAUUAAAGGUGAGAAAG
rnacentral:lncRNA from 1 species